rnacentral:rRNA from 1 species
GAUGAACGCUGGCGGCGUGCCUAAUACAUGCAAGUCGAGCGAACAGACGAGGAGCUUGCUCCUCUGACGUUAGCGGCGGACGGGUGAGUAACGCGUGGAUAACCUACCUAUAAGACUGGGAUAACUUCGGGAAACCGGAGCUAAUACCGGAUAAUAUAUUGAACCGCAUGGUUCAAUAGUGAAAGACGGUUUUGCUGUCACUUAUAGAUGGAUCCGCGCCGCAUUAGCUAGUUGGUAAGGUAACGGCUUACCACGGCAACGAUGCGUAGCCGACCUGAGAGGGUGAUCGGCCACACUGGAACUGAGACACGGUCCAGACUCCUACGGGAGGCAGCGGUAGGGAAUCUUCCGCAAUGGGCGAAAGCCUGACGGAGCAACGCCGCGUGAGUGAUGAAGGUCUUCGGAUCGUAAAACUCUGUUAUUAGGGAAGAACAAAUGUGUAAGUAACGAUGCACGUCUUGACGGUACCUAAUCAGAAAGCCACGGCUAACUACGUG